rnacentral:lncRNA from 1 species
GUUGGUGAAGUUGCUUUAGAUGAUGAACAAAUUCUGGGUUUUAGUUCUUACACUUCUCUCUUUUAUCUCUCUUAAAGAGGCACAUAAAAAAGAAAUCUUCCAGAAUGUGGGCGGCUAUGGAGCUUUUAGUCCACUUGAACUUAAUUUGCAUCAUAAUGUCGAACUUCAUGGUUGAGAGAAUUCCCACAUUCUCAAUGACUUUUUCUCCAAGACUCUCUUUUCAAGACAACUGGUUAUAUUUUCUCUGUUGAAACAAACAAACCAAAAAGAUAUCAGAUAUCAAUCAGACAAUCACAAAACACAACCUAAUAAC